AAGUCGAACGAACUCUGGUAUUGAUUGGUGCUUGCAUCAUGAUUUACAUUUGAGUGAGUGGCGAACUGGUGAGUAACACGUGGGAAACCUGCCCAGAAGCGGGGGAUAACACCUGGAAACAGAUGCUAAUACCGCAUAACAACUUGGACCGCAUGGUCCGAGUUUGAAAGAUGGCUUCGGCUAUCACUUUUGGAUGGUCCCGCGGCGUAUUAGCUAGAUGGUGGGGUAACGGCUCACCAUGGCAAUGAUACGUAGCCGACCUGAGAGGGUAAUCGGCCACAUUGGGACUGAGACACGGCCCAAACUCCUACGGGAGGCAGCAGUAGGGAAUCUUCCACAAUGGACGAAAGUCUGAUGGAGCAACGCCGCGUGAGUGAAGAAGGGUUUCGGCUCGUAAAACUCUGUUGUUAAAGAAGAACAUAUCUGAGAGUAACUGUUCAGGUAUUGACGGUAUUUAACCAGAAAGCCACGGCUAACUACGUGCCAGCAGCCGCGGUAAUACGUAGGUGGCAAGCGUUGUCCGGAUUUAUUGGGCGUAAAGCGAGCGCAGGCGGUUUUUUAAGUCUGAUGUGAAAGCCUUCGGCUCAACCGAAGAAGUGCAUCGGAAACUGGGAAACUUGAGUGCAGAAGAGGACAGUGGAACUCCUG
rnacentral:rRNA from 2 species